CGUGCUAACAUACAUUCUAUUUGCGUUUUCAAGAGGCUUCAGAAGAGGACCAGACGAUCCUGGCAGAAACAGUUUGAAGUUGUGAAGAACAUAUUAUCCUCAUAAAAAAAUGGCUAGAGGAAGUCGCAGUGCCAGUCGUUCUUCGGCACCAACCAGGUUAUCAACCUCUCCCUCAACGUGAUCAAGACCAAGGAGAUGAUUGUGGACUACAGAAAAAGGAGGUCUGGGAACACCCCCAUUCUCAUCAACGGGGCUGUAGUGGAGCAGGUUGAGAGCUUCAAGUUCCUUGGUGUCCACAUCACCAACAAACUAUCAUGGUCCAAACACAACAAGACAGUCGAAGAGGACACGACAACGCCUAUUCCCCCUCGGGAGACUGAAAAGAUUUGGCAUGGGUCCUCAGAUCCUCAAAAAUGUCUACAGCUGCACCAUGGGGUUAGAAGCUGGUUGCAUCACCACCUGGUAUGGCAACUGCUCGGCCUCCGUGACACAAGGCACAACAGAAGGUAGUGUGUACGACCCACAUUACUGGGGCCAAGCUUCCGGCCAUCCAGGACCUCUAUACCAGGCGGUGUCAGAGGAAGGCCCAAAAAGGACUCCAGCCACCCUAGUCAUAGACUGUUCUCUCUGCUACCGCACGGCAAGCGGUACCGGAGCACCAAGUCUAGGUCCAAAAGAUUUCUAAACAGCUUCUAACCCCAUAACACUCCUGAACAGUUAAUGAAAUGGCUACCUGGACUAUUUGCAUUGUCCCCACCCCCAUUUUUAUGCUGCUGCUACUCUCCGUUUAUUAGCCAUGCAUAGUCACUUUACUUCUACCUAGAUGUACAUAUUACCUCAAUUACCUCGACUAACUGGUGCCCUAGCACAAUGACUCUGUACCGGUACCCCCUGUAUAUAGCCUCGCUAUUGUUAUUUUACUGCUGCUCUUUAAUUAUUUGUUAUUUUUAUCUCUAACUUGUUUUAGGUAUUUACGUAAAACUGCAUUGUUGGUGUAUCCCUCUCUGGUGCUAUGUUUGGACGUUAGCCAACAGCCAGUGAAAUUGCAGGGCACCAAACUCAAAACAGAAAUCUCAUGAUUAAAAUUCCUCAAACAUACAAGUAUUAUACACCAUUUUAAAGGUACACUUCUCGUUAAUCCAGCCACAGUCGGAUUUCAAAAAGGCUUUACGGAGAAAGCAGACCUUGUUAGGUCAGCGCCUAGUCACAGAAAAACAUACAGCCAUUUUCCAAAGAAGGAAAGGUGUCACAAAACUCAGAAAUAACGUUAUACAUAUUCAUUUACCUUUGAUGAUCUUCAUCGGAAUGCACUCCCAGGAAUCCCAGUUCCACAAUAAAUGUUUGUUUUGUUCGAUAAAGUCCAUAAUUUAUGUCCAAAUACCUCCUUUUUGUUCACGCGUUUAGCCCAGUAAUCCAAAUGCACAAUGCGCGAGCAAUUAGUUCAGAUGAAAAGUCCAAAAAGUUAUAUUACAGUUCGUAGAAACAUGUCAAACAAUGUAUAGAAUCUAUCUUUAGGAUGUUUUAAUCAGAAAUCUUCAAUAAUGUUUCAACCGGACAAUUCCUUUGUCUUUAGAAAUUAAAAGGAAUGCAGCUCGCUCUCACAGCCGCCCGCCUGACUUAGCUCAUGGUAUUCUGACAGACCUCUUAGUCAAACAGCUCUUAUUUGCUCCCCCUUCACAGUCGAAGCCUGAAACAAGGUUCUAAAGACCGUUGACAUCUAGUGGAAGCCUUGUGAAGUGCAAUAUGACCCCAUAUACACUGUAUAUUGGAUAGGCAAAGACUUGAAAACCAACAAACCUCAGAUUUCCCACUUCUUGGUGGAUUUUUUCUCAGGUUUUUGCCUGCCAUAUGAGUUAUGUUAUACUCCCAGACAUCAUUCAAACAGUUUUGUUUUCUAUCCAAAUCUACUAAUUAUAUGCAUAUUCUAGCUUUUGGGCCUUAGCAGGCAGAUUACUCUGGGCACCUUAUUCAUCCAAGCUACUCAAUACUGCCCCCAGUCCAAGAGAAGGGUUUUAAAUAAGCAUUCACUGUAAGGUUGUAUUGUAUUCGGCGCAUGUGGCAAAUAAAAUUUGAUUCCAUUUCAUAUCUAGGAAAACCAACUUUCCAAAGACUGUACCUAAAAUAGUGUAUAAGCAAUCAUACAAGAGGUAUUGCAAUGAUUCCGAUGUUGAAGAUGUGCGUAAUGAGGAACAUUCUGACGCUGCACUGAAAACAUUGAUGAAAUUGCUACUUCCGGUUACUGACAGGCAUGUACCCAUAAAGAAACUGACUGUUAAGACUGCUAUCCCCAUGGAUAGAAGAUUAAUUGACAAACUGUAUGGCUGAGAAGGACGAUGUUAAGGGAAUGGCAAACAAGUCUGCUAACACAGCAGAUUGGCAAACAUACAGUAAGUUGAGAAAUCCCGUAACUAAACUAAACAAAUAUGAAACUAGGUCUCAACCAAGUUACAUAUCUUUCCGAUUUGGUCAUAACUACACGUACGCUACGGUCACAAGACGCAGGCCUUCUUACUGUCCCUAGAAUUUCUAAGCAAACAGCUGGAGGCAGGGCUUUCUCCUAUAGAGCACCAUUUUUAUGGAAUGGUCUGCCUACCCAUGUGAGAGACGCAGACUCGGUCUCAACCUUUAAGUCUUUAUUGAAGACUCAUCUCUUCAGUAGGUCCUAUGAUUGAGUGUAGUCUGGCCCAGGAAUGUGAAGGUGAACAGAAAGGCUCUGGAGCAACAGACCACCCAUGCUGUCUCUGCCUGGACGGUUCUCCUCUCUCCACUGGGAUUCUCUGCCUCUAACCCUAUUACAGGGGCUGAGUCACUGGCCCUAGGAGGGGUGCAUCACUUGAGUGGGUUGAGUCACUGAUGUGAUCUUCCUGUCCGGGUUGGUGCCCCCCCUUGGGUUGUGCCGUGGCGGAGAUCUUUGUGGGCUAUACUCUGCCUCUGGUAAAUUGGUGAUUGAAGAUACCCUUCUAGUGGUGUGGGGGUUGUGCUUUGGCAAAGUGGGUUGGGUUAUAUCCUGCCUGUUUGGCCCUGUCCGGGGGUAUCGUCGGAUGGGGCCACAGUGUCUCCCGACCCCUGCUGUCUCAGCCUCCAGCAUUUAUGUAGUUUAUGUGUUUGGGGGCUAGGGUCAGUCUGUUAUAUCUGCGGUAUUUCUCCUGUCUUAUCUGGUGUCCUGUGUGAAUUUAAGUAUGCUCCCUCUAAUUCUCUCUCUUUCUCUCUUUCUUUCCUCCUUCUCUCUUCUUUCUUUCUCUCCCUCGGAGAACCUGAGCCCUAGGACCAUGCCUCAGGACUACCUGGCCUGAUGACUCCUUGCUGUCCACAGUCCACCUGGCCGUGCCAGUCUAACAGGCCACUCUAAAAUGUGCAGUUUUGUCAGACAACACAACACCACAGAUGUCUCAAGUUUUGAGGGAGCAUGCAAUUGGCAUGCCUGUUUUUAAGGUAUCUGUGACCAACAGAUGCAUAUCUAGCUAUUCUUUGAGUCAGCUACUCAGCUACUGUAGCUUAUGCUUUCAGUACAAGAUUCAUUCUCUGAUCCUUUGAUUGGGUGGACAACAUGUCAGUUCAUGGAAAGGGGUGAGAACCGCGAGCCUCCUACGUUUUGUAUUGAAGUCAAGGUACCCAGAGGAGGACGGAAACUAGCUGUCCUCCAGCUAAACCAUGGUGCUACCUUACAAAGUGCUGUUGAGGAUACUGUAGACCUUCAUUGCAAAACACACCCAUUGUCAUUACUUUACGUGAAUUGAUAUCUCAGAAUUUUUAAAUGUGAAAAAUUUGAAUACAAAAUCAUUGGUUUAGCUUCUAUCUAUUCUGUGGCUGCAUGAAAUAGCAAACAUAACGUGAAUUCAGUGAAGACAUCACCUCAUCUUUGUGGCUCCCUGAUGAAGCGGUAACAUCCAUGACUGUAGAUAGACAAUGAAUGAAUUAAUGGGUUAGUUAUAAAAAAUCUUGAGCAGGUGUUUGGCUCCUUCUCGACGCUGUGUGCACACAUAUACACGCUGAAAUCUGCGCCCAUUGUGACGUAUGGCACCGCCCGUGACAAGAGUAUGUCCCUUGCCACUAGCCUAGCCGAGCAAGGAGUUUUUGUACGGAGGUCAAUGAGAGAGUGUCGAAUUGUAUCAACAACAAAAAUGGAUGGCUUAUCUGCUAUGUGAGGUUUAUUUGGUCGAAUAGAAGAGUCGUAAUGCUUAAUUAAGUUGUUAGGAGUGCACUGAUAUAAGUAGGACAUGUGACAUCCUGGCAACUUUGAGGAAAAUUGUUUAUAUCGGGGCCGCCUCAAGAUGGCUGUGCAUAUUCAUGGCAUGAGGCUAGUAGCAUAGCAUCUCUAUCUAUUGAAAACAGGCGGUUGACGUCAACAACCCUCAUCAAAUAUUCAAAAAACUAUUACAAUAAUGAGAUGUAUCCACCAAUCCAAAGAAAAGAUAGGCGGGAGCUAGACAGCCCGCCGUGCCGCUUUGUGGACAACGAUUCCCAUUGUUGGGGCGUAGAGACAUGCAUCCUGUCAGUAUAUACAUCAUAUUUGGCCAAGAGGAUAAUAGGAAUUUACUAAGUGGGAACCUGAGGUGGGAACUGUACCAACAAAUCACAGCUUGUGAGAUAUUAACGUCAUGGCAGCAACGUUACUGUCCUGGCAGAAACAUCAAGACUUCCGGUUUUCAGAUUUUACCAUCAAAAUAAAAGUCUGUGGGAAAACACUGUGUGUAUGAUACGAAAUCAAUCAUUUUUUCAGCUUUGUCCAUAAUGCAUAAAGUUAAAAUAAUGUUACAAAAAAUCUAAACCAAAGAUAAUUCCUGCUUUAUACAUGAUAAAUCAUAUUAUAAGGUGGAGCACAUUGAUAAAUGGAACAUAAUACUCUACAGACCCUAUUGAAGUAGCACGAGUGUCUACAGUGCAUUCGGAAAGUACUGAGAACCCUUCACUUUUUCCAUAUUUUGUUAGGGUACAGCCUUAUUCUAAAAUGGUUUAAAUAGUUUUGUUUUCACACAAUACCUCAUAAUGACAAAGCAGAAACAGGUUUUUAGAAAUCGUUGCUAAUUUAUAGUAAAAAAAUAACACAAAUAUCACAUUUACAUAACUAUUCAGCCCCUUUAAUCAGUAUUUCUUGAAGCACCUUUGGUAGCGAUUACAGCCUUGGGUGUGAUGAAUGGGUGUAGACAAAGAAAAGCUCUCCAGUAGGUACCAAAACAUUCAAAGGCCAUUUUCUCAAAAGUGAGGUUACAAGUUGAUCAAUUUCAAAGCAGAAUUACUUUCCCAUUGUUCCUCAAAUGCAGUGUAUGAUAUACCACAUUGUAGCUCUGAGUAUCUACUUUUAUCCAAUGUAAAAAACACAAUUUCAAAUGUUGCUACAUAACCUUUAUCCAAACUGACUUAGUCAUGCAUGCGUACAUUUUACAUUUGGGUGGUCCGGGAAUCAAACUCACUACCCUUGCGUUACAAGUAGAGGUCGACCGAUUAAUCAGAAUGGCCGAUUAAUUCGAUUUUCAUAACAAUCGGAAAUCUGUAUUUUUGGGCGCCGAUUUGCCGAUUUAAAAAAAAAAAAAAUUAUACCUUUAUUUAACUAGGCAAGUCAGUUAAGAACACAUUCUUAUUUUCAAUGACUGCCUAGGAACGGUGAGUUAACUGCCUUGUUCAGGGGCAGAGCGACAGAUUUUUACCUUGUCAGCUCGGGGGAUUCAAUCUUGCAACCUUACAGUUAAUUAGUCCAACACAACAACGUUCUGCCUCACUCUCGUUGCACUCCACAAGGAGUGCAGUAAGCCAAGGUAAAUUGCUAGAUAGCAUUAAACUUAUCUUACAAAAAACAAUCAAUCAUAAUCACUAGUUAACUACACAUGGUUGAUGAUAUUACUAGAUAUUAUCUAGCGUGUCUUGCGUUGCAUAUAAUCUGACUAAGCAUACAAGUAUCUAAGUAUCUGACUGAGUGGUGGUAGGCAGAAGCAGGCGCGUAAACAUUCAUUCAAACUGCACUUUCGGGCAUUUUGCCAGCAGCUCUUCUUUGUGCAUCAAGCAUUGAGCUGUUUAUGACUUCAAGCCUAUCAACUCCCGAGAUGAGGCUGGUGAAACCGAAGUGAAAUGGCUAGCUAGUUAGCGUGCGCUAAUUAAUAGUGUUUCAAACAUCACUCGCUCUGAGCCUUCUAGUAGUUGUUCCCCUUGCUCUGCAUGGGUAAUGCUGCUUCGAUGGUGGCUGUUGUCAUUGUGUUUCUGGUUCGAGCCCAGGGAGGAGCGAGGAGAGGGACGGAAGCUAUACUGUUACACUGGCAAUACUAAAGUGCCUAUAAGAACAUCCAAUAGUCAAAGGUUAAUGAAAUACAAAUGGUAUAGAGGGAAAUAGUCUUAUAAUUCCUAUAAUAACUACAACCUAAAACUUCUUACCUGGGAAUAUUGAAGACUCAUGUUAAAAGGAACCACCAGCUUUCAUAUGUUCUGAGCAAGGAACUGAAACGUUAGCUUUCUUACAUAGCACAUAUUGCACUUUUACUUUCUUCUCCAACACUUUGUUUUUGCAUUAUUUAAAUCAAAUUGAACAUGUUUCAUUAUUUACUUGUGGCUAAAUUGAUUUUAUUGAUGUAUUAUAUUAAGUUAAAAUAAGAGUUCAUUCAGUAUUGUUGUAAUUGUCAUUAUUACAAAUAAAACAUUUUAAAUUGUCCGAUUAAUCUGUAUCGGCUUUUUUGGUCCUCCAAUAAUCAGUGUUGAAAAAUCAUAAUCGGUCGACCUCUAGUUACAAGCAUCAUGCUCUACUAACUGAGCUACAAAGGACCUCAAAGGAGAGGGUGCCCAGUCUAUGUGUAUUCAGUGUUUAGCUGUGUUUAUGUUUAUGAUGUAAUUUCAAACCAAAUGUAACAGAAAACUAGGAGGCACAACUUCAAUUUAGUUUGGUGUUUCUUUGCCUUUGAAGCAUCUUUUGAUUGACACGAUGAACCCUGUGCCCUCGGGCCUGUUUGGUCUCUUCCUUGUGUUUUGACUGCCUCCGCUCUUCCAUUACAGUUAACUGCCUUGUUCAGGGGCAGAACGACAGAUUUUUUACCUUGUCAGCUCAGGGAUUCUAUCUAGCUACAUUUCAGUUACUUGCCCAAUGCUCUAACCACUAGGAUACCUUUCAGCCAAAAGGCAGGGAUACAAUUUCUCCAAAAAUGUCACUCCCACUGGUCCAGAAUCAUCCUUUGCAUGACCAGGUAAUUCGUCAUCACUCUCGUCGGGUUCAAUUUCUUAGCCAUCAGAGACAGCAGAGUACAGUUUAUACUUGGUGUCGUUUUUUCCUCAGCACACAUAUUUCCUCUGCACUCGGCUCUUCUUCUUCCACGCUGUCCAUAACCACGUCUGUCAGUUCACCAUGCUCUUGCACCGCAUUCUUCCGCUAUAUUGGUUGCAGAACACGCACUGAUGGCCUUUCUCCAAUACCCAACUUCUGUUCCUUAGCCCAAUUUACUCAUCUGGCUCCUCUCCUGCCUCUACAUGCUUGUAAAAAGUGGGAUACUCUUUAUCUGAGAUCAGUGUCCUCGUCUUGAUAUAUCAAAGUUUGCUGAUGUUUUUUUGAAGAAACCCGCCAUCUGAGAUUUCUAAACAACACUUCCACUCUGGCCAGGUGUUAAGGGAAUUUUGAUCAAUAAUGACUAAUUAUGUAUACAUUUCAAUCUGGACUGACUAAUCAGAAUACUAUUAUGUUACUGUAUAUAUACUAAUCAGAAUACUAUUAUGUUACUGUAUAUGUAUGAAUUUUAUUUUUAAUCUUAGUACUGAAUAUAAUGUGUGUAAAUAUAAUCAAGAAUUAGAACAAUGACUGUCUGUUCCUUGGUAGAAAUGAAUGAACUAUAUCUUCAGACUGGCUAGAAUGCUUAUCGACACAAGAAGACCUUGGCUCGGGCAUAAAUGAUAUUAAAUUGGUAGGGAGACGAUGUGGGAAGGCUUGAGAUACUGCCUUUGUACCAGGGUGGGAGAAGAGACGGGUUGUUACUGGAACUAAUGACGUCAUUUUCAGUUUAUAACCUGUGGUAAACUGUAUCGUGUUCAGUAAUCUCGUGAAUAAAAGCUGCUAUUUGACUUUAA